rnacentral:rRNA from 1 species
UACGUAGGCAGCAAGCGUUGUUCGGAGUUACUGGGCGUAAAGGGUGUGUAGGCGGUUGUUUAAGUUUGGUGUGAAAUCUCCCGGCUCAACUGGGAGGGUGCGCCGAAUACUGAAUGACUAGAGUGUGGGAGAGGUGAGUGGAAUUCCUGGUGUAGCGGUGAAAUGCGUAGAUAUCAGGAGGAACACCGGUGGCGAAGGCGGCUUUCUGGACAGAUACCGACGCUGAGGCACGAAAGCUAGGGGAGCAAACAGG